rnacentral:lncRNA from 1 species
GGAAGUUCAAAAGUUGGAUGAGAAACACAGGGUCGCUGAGAAUCUGCUCCAACAAAAGGUUCGUCUACUUUAUGGAAUUCUUGGAUUCUGCAUGUUUGUAUAUGUAUGUGUGUAAGUAAUGGAACUUAAAUUCUAUUCAAUGUAGAAUCUCGAAAUGAAGAAACUGGCAGAUGAGAAGAAAGAUGCAGUGGCUGCACAAUUUGCUGCGGAAGCUACUCUCAGAAGAGUUUAUGCAAAUCAAAAGGAUGAUGAGGAUGUGUCUAUGGAGUCAACCAUUGCUCCUCUUAAGGCUGAGAUUAAAAUGUACAAAAAUGAGGUAGGGAAGGGAAGGAUUUGUGGGAAAAUAUGUAGUGCUCCAAAUGUAUUAAACAUACUAGCCGCAUCAUCAUGCUCCACUUCCACUCUCAGAUUGCAGUGCUCCACCAGGAUAAGAAGGCUUUGGAACGUCUCACAAAGUCAAAGGAAUCAGCUUUGAUCGAAGCGGAGAGGAUUUUGCGAUCUGCUUUAGAAAGGGCUUUAAUAGUUGAGGAAGUUCAAAACCAAAACUUGGAGUUAAGGAGGCAGAUUGAGAUUUGCCAGGCAAGUUUAGCUUUGGCAGUUUGGUUAUUAAAUAAUUAGAGGGGUUCAAGAAGUUUAGCCUAUGAUCAAAAUGUACCCUCACCUUUAUCAUUAUGCAUUGCAGGAGGAGAACAAAAUCCUUGAGAAAACUAAUCGCCAAAAGGUCUUGGAGAUUGAAAAGCUUAGCCAAACCAUUCAGGAACUUGAAGAGGCCAUUUUGGUUGGUGGGGCUGCUGC